ACCUGGCUGGUUCAGUCGGUAGAACAUGAGACUCUUGAUCUCAGGAUUGUGAGUUCAAGCCCCAUGUUGGGCG
rnacentral:tRNA from 1 species